CAGUUACUCCCUCUGUCCGAAAAUACUUGUCAUCAAAAUUGAUAAAAGGGGAUGUAUCUAGACAUAUUUUAGUUCUAGAUACAUCUCUAUUUAUCCAUUUUGAAGACAAGUAUUUUCGGACGGAGGAAGUACUCU
rnacentral:pre_miRNA from 1 species